AUUGAACGCUGGCGGCAUGCUUUACACAUGCAAGUCGAACGGCAGCGCGGGCUUCGGCCUGGCGGCGAGUGGCGAACGGGUGAGUAAUACAUCGGAACGUGCCCAGUAGUGGGGGAUAGCUCGGCGAAAGCCGGAUUAAUACCGCAUACGACCUGAGGGGGAAAGCGGGGGAUCUUCGGACCUCGCGCUAUUGGAGCGGCCGAUGGCAGAUUAGCUAGGUGGUGGGGGAAAGGCCUACCAAGGCGACGAUCUGUAGCUGGUCUGAGAGGACGACCAGCCACACUGGAACUGAGACACGGACCAGACUCCUACGGGAGGCAGCAGUGGGGAAUUUUGGACAAUGGGCGAAAGCCUGAUCCAGCAAUGCCGCGUGUGUGAUGAAGGCCUUCGGGUUGUAAAGCACUUUUGGCGGGAACGAAAAGGAAUGUGCCAAUACCACGGUUCGAUGACGGUACCCGCAGAAUAAGCACCGGCUAACUACGUG
rnacentral:rRNA from 1 species